GCCCGGUGACAUAGUUUAACGGCCGCGGUAUUUUGACCGUGCGAAGGUAGCGUAAUCACUUGUCUUUUAAAUGGAGACCUGUAUGAAUGGCAUCACGAGGGCUCGACUGUCUCCUCUCUCCGGCCAAUGAAAUUGAUCUCCCCGUGCAGAAGCGGGGAUAAUAACAUAAGACGAGAAGACCCUAUGGAGCUUUAGACACCAAGACAGCUUACGUCAAGUAUACCCACAACACGGGGCCGAACUAAGCAUGCCCUGUCCUAAUGUCUUUGGUUGGGGCGACCCUGGGGAGAUAAAGAACCCCCACGUGGAAUGGAAACAUGUUUCCAGAACCAAGAGCUCCCGCUCUAAGAAGCAGAACUUCUGACCAACUAGAUCCGGCAAAGCCGAUCAACGGACCGAGUUACCCUAGGGAUAACAGCGCAAUCCCCUUUUAGAGGCCCUAUCGACAA
rnacentral:rRNA from 1 species